UUACUCCGGGAGUGAGCAAGGCGAUGGAGAGACUAACGAAAGCUUAGGCACACGGCGAGUGAACUGCUCCAUAGGAUAAAUAACCGGGGAACCGCUCUAGCCGAGCGGUUUAAUGUAGGCUACCUACCGUGUGACUUUCGUUUUGCCAUAAUAGUAACCGUUGAAUAAAAGCAAUAGCUCACUUCAGUCUGUGGUAUGUGCUCAUUAUACCUCUGUGAAGAGGGUCGCCAAUAAUUCCGCUAAUAACAGAGUCCUAUGUCAUUGACGUCUUCUCACAGGUCUUCACCUAGCGCCACUUCCCAGCUAGCUGCUGUAGCAGCAUGUUCAACGCUUUGGACGUUGCUGUUCCUGUCUGUAUCCCCAACAGUAGCCGUAAAACUGUGUCAUCUUUGGCUGUGUUGCCAAAUACUUACCGGCGUUAUUUAGCUUUUUAGGGUAACUUUAAUUCCUAACCCUUUUCCUAAACCUUAAUUUUAUUUUGCUUUGUCUCUGUUUGUGUAUUGUUUGGGGGGGAGGUCGGUAGGGCCCCCCCCCCCCACUACGGGGCCACAAGCGGCCGCGGCCUAUGCCUCUAUGUCAAGACGUGUGCGUGUGUGUGUGUGUGUGUGUGUGUGUGUGUGUGUGUGUGUGUGUGUGUGUGUGUGUGUGUGUGUGUGUGUGUGUGUGUGUGUGUGUGUGUGUGUGUGCGCCCAAUACGAGCCAAUGCAAAGGGUUAAAAUGUACCAUUAUAUCAAAUCUAACACAACUCUUCAAAAAGGAAAUAAUGAAAAAAAAAAAAAAAAGUAUUAUUUGAACUAUAUUACCUAAGCUAAGGAUCCUGAGGAUCUAAUUUGUUCGUUAUGAGUUAUCGCUCAUUCUUUUGUCUGUAUUAUCUAUAAACAUGUUAAAUAAAAAAGAAUAAGAAAAAUACAGGGAGAGGUUACCUCCCCUUUCUCUGCUUUGUCCGUCCAGAGAAUUUGUCCCGACCGCCCAUGAGAAAAUGAGAUACGACAACGUGAGCUCAGCACAUAUUAGUUGGUGCCGAGAUGAUGCCUCAUGUAACGUCAUAGCCUCGCAGCCAGAUGAACCGUCAAAGUGGUUCGACCUCGAAGCUUCAAAUGAGUACGCUAGGGACACCUACUGGUGAAUGAAAUGUUGAUGAAAGAGUUUCCUGUGAUGAUGUGAAGUUUGCUUCGUACAACAUCAAAACAUUUGAGAAAAGUAAUUUCAUUGAUAGGCCUACGUGUGAGUGUGCCGUUCAUAAAUAUCUCCCGAGCUCAUGAUGUCCUUGGGUGUCUUGAAAGGCGCCUCUAAAUUAAAUGUAUUAUUAUUAUUAUGGUAGAAAACAAAUAAUUUUACAAAGAUUUUAAGUCAUCCCGGGCAAAAUAGAAUGUCUUAUCUACUACAGUAGCCUACUAAUAAUUGUAAUUAUAGAACUGCAUGAUGACUGAGAAUGAGUGUCAUUAAUUAGGCUACAUAGCCAUUCAAGUAAUCUUGGAACUGGGUAGUGUCUUCUUUCUGCCAAUUGUGAACCCAUAUCGCGGCACAGCCCGAGAUGAAGCCUCGAACGUCACACGCUACGUCAUUUCUGAGCUCCGCUUGGGGGAGGAGCCAAGUUACUCGACACACGCCCCGAUGCCUCGACGCAAACCAUAACAUCGCUACAUACAGUAAGUUUCACCGACGACUGCUUCCUCAACUUGGUCCAAUACAAAGCUGGACUUGCGGAAGGUCUGGAAAUGGAGUCCGGUUCAGUACCAACUCUCCUCGGCUCAGCUACAAAUCUCGGACAAGCCAGCCCAUCAAUUGGUAACAUUCAGGUGUUUCUCUCAAGGGAUGUUGCCUGCCAUACAGACCACCUGGAAACACAUACUGUAGCCACACGGCUAUCCUUAAAGACUUUCCGGCCCCACUUCACAAGUAAAGAAGACUGCGAUGCCUUUGGAGACCGUAGCACGCAGCGCGGCGCCACCUCGGAGAGUCUGGGUGU